rnacentral:rRNA from 1 species
CUUAUGCGUUGUUGGGUAGGGGAGCGUUCUGUAAGCCUGUGAAGGUGUACUGUGAGGUAUGCUGGAGGUAUCAGAAGUGCGAAUGCUGACAUAAGUAACGAUAAAGCGGGUGAAAAGCCCGCUCGCCGGAAGACCAAGGGUUCCUGUCCAACGUUAAUCGGGGCAGGGUGAGUCGACCCCUAAGGCGAGGCCGAAAGGCGUAGUCGAUGGGAAACAGGUUAAUAUUCCUGUACUUGGUGUUACUGCGAAGGGGGGACGGAGAAGGCUAUGUUGGCCGGGCGACGGUUGUCCCGGUUUAAGCGUGUAGGCUGGUUUUCCAGGCAAAUCCGGAAAAUCAAGGCUGAGGCGUGAUGACGAGGCACUACGGUGCUGAAGCAACAAAUGCCCUGCUUCCAGGAAAAGCCUCUAAGCAUCAGGUAACAUCAAAUCGUACCCCAAACCGACACAGGUGGUCAGGUAGAGAAUACCAAGGCGCUUGAGAGAACUCGGGUGAAGGAACUAGGCAAAAUGGUGCCGUAACUUCGGGAGAAGGCACGCUGAUAUGUAGGUGAAGCGACUUGCUCGUGGAGCUGAAAUCAGUCGAAGAUACCAGCUGGCUGCAACUGUUUAUUAAAAACACAGCACUGUGCAAACACGAAAGUGGACGUAUACGGUGUGACGCCUGCCCGGUGCCGGAAGGUUAAUUGAUGGGGUUAGCGGUAACGCGAAGCUCUUGAUCGAAGCCCCGGUAAACGGCGGCCGUAACUAUAACGGUCCUAAGGUAGCGAAAUUCCUUGUCGGGUAAGUUCCGACCUGCACGAAUGGCGUAAUGAUGGCCAGGCUGUCUCCACCCGAGACUCAGUGAAAUUGAACUCGCUGUGAAGAUGCAGUGUACCCGCGGCAAGACGGAAAGACCCCGUGAACCUUUACUAUAGCUUGACACUGAACAUUGAGCCUUGAUGUGUAGGAUAGGUGGGAGGCUUUGAAGUGUGGACGCCAGUCUGCAUGGAGCCGACCUUGAAAUACCACCCUUUAAUGUUUGAUGUUCUAACGUUGGCCCCUUAUCGGGGUUGCGGACAGUGUCUGGUGGGUAGUUUGACUGGGGCGGUCUCCUCCUAAAGAGUAACGGAGGAGCACGAAGGUUGGCUAAUCCUGGUCGGACAUCAGGAGGUUAGUGCAAUGGCAUAAGCCAGCUUGACUGCGAGCGUGACGGCGCGAGCAGGUGCGAAAGCAGGUCAUAGUGAUCCGGUGGUUCUGAAUGGAAGGGCCAUCGCUCAACGGAUAAAAGGUACUCCGGGGAUAACAGGCUGAUACCGCCCAAGAGUUCAUAUCGACGGCGGUGUUUGGCACCUCGAUGUCGGCUCAUCACAUCCUGGGGCUGAAGUAGGUCCCAAGGGUAUGGCUGUUCGCCAUUUAAAGUGGUACGCGAGCUGGGUUUAGAACGUCGUGAGACAGUUCGGUCCCUAUCUGCCGUGGGCGCUGGAGAACUGAGGGGGGCUGCUCCUAGUACGAGAGGACCGGAGUGGACGCAUCACUGGUGUUCGGGUUGUCAUGCCAAUGGCACUGCCCGGUAGCUAAAUGCGGAAGAGAUAAGUGCUGAAAGCAUCUAAGCACGAAACUUGCCCCGAGAUGAGUUCUCCCUGACCCUUUAAGGGUCCUGAAGGAACGUUGAAGACGACGACGUUGAUAGGCCGGGUGUGUAAGCGCAGCGAUGCGUUGAGCUAACCGGUACUAAUGAACCGUGAG